rnacentral:rRNA from 1 species
UACGUAGGGGGCAAGCGUUGUCCGGAAUCAUUGGGCGUAAAGCGCGUGUAGGCGGUUCGGUAAGUCUGCUGUGAAAGUCAAAGGCUCAACCUUUGAAUGUCAGCGGAUACUGCCGGGCUAGAGUCCGGAAGAGGCGAGUGGAACUCCUGGUGUAGCGGUGGAAUGCGCAGAUAUCAGGAAGAACACCAACGGCGAAGGCAGCUCGCUGGGACGGAACUGACGCUGAGGAGCGAAAGCGUGGGUAGCAAACAGG